rnacentral:sRNA from 1 species
AAUAAUAUUAAUGCACGCUGCAGUGGCUAGUUGGAAAGGGGCUGGCAGACGAGGGACUACUUCCCCUUUGAAAGCAGGGGUGCAAGGAACCAACCUACCUCCCCUGCCCCAACAUCAGCGAAAAUCAGCCGCCGGUUUAAAGCUGGCGUUUUGUUUGGAUGUGCUGGCCUAUGGGGAGGGGAGUCGUAUUCUGGUUUGCUUUUUCCGUUUUUCUACUGAAGUGAUAGGGAAAGGGCAAGCUCCAGGCCCCUGGGCUGUUUCUCGGGAGACGGGCGUUUCUGUCUAGUGUCUGAAGGGUCUCGGCGUGGCUGCAUUUUAACCCUUCAUUUUCUUUCUUGGACCCACGUUACAGCGUCGGCGGAGAUGAGAACAUCGGCACCGUUACCACCCUGGCGAACAUCCUCCGGGAAUUCAACCCUUCCCUGAAGGGCUUCUCUGUUGGCACUGGGAAAGAAACCAGUCCUAAUGCCUUCUUAAACCAGGCUGUGGCAGGAGGCCGAGCUGAGGAUUUACCUGUCCAGGCCAGGAGGCUGGUGGACCUGAUGA